UGGGGAAUUUUGGACAAUGGGCGAAAGCCUGAUCCAGCAAUGCCGCGUGUGUGAAGAAGGCCUUCGGGUUGUAAAGCACUUUUGUCCGGAAAGAAAUCCUUGGCUCUAAUACAGUCGGGGGAUGACGGUACCGGAAGAAUAAGCACCGGCUAACUACGUGCCAGCAGCCGCGGUAAUACGUAGGGUGCAAGCGUUAAUCGGAAUUACUGGGCGUAAAGCGUGCGCAGGCGGUUUGCUAAGACCGAUGUGAAAUCCCCGGGCUCAACCUGGGAACUGCAUUGGUGACUGGCAGGCUAGAGUAUGGCAGAGGGGGGUAGAAUUCCACGUGUAGCAGUGAAAAUGCGUAGAGAUGUGGAGGAAUACCGAUGGCGAAGGCAGCCCCCUGGGCAAUACUGACGCUCAUGCACGAAAGCGUGGGGAGCAAACAGGAUUAGAUACCCUGGUAGUCCACGCCCUAAACGAUGUCAACUAGUUGUUGGGGAUUCAUUUCCUUAGUAACGUAGCUAACGCGUGAAGUUGACCGCCUGGGGAGUACGUCGCAAGAUUAAAACUCAAAUGAAUUGACGGGGUCAUA
rnacentral:rRNA from 1 species